rnacentral:rRNA from 1 species
AGCCUGAUCCAGCCAUGCCGCGUGAGUGAUGAAGGCCUUAGGGUUGUAAAGCUCUUUCACCGAUGAAGAUAAUGACGGUAGUCGGAGAAGAAGCCCCGGCUAACUUCGUGCCAGCAGCCGCGGUAAUACGAAGGGGGCUAGCGUUGUUCGGAAUUACUGGGCGUAAAGCGCACGUAGGCGGAUAUUUAAGUCAGGGGUGAAAUCCCGGAGCUCAACUCCGGAACUGCCUUUGAUACUGGGUAUCUUGAGUAUGGAAGAGGUAAGUGGAAUUGCGAGUGUAGAGGUGAAA